AAGUCGUAACAAGGUUUCCGUAGGUGAACCUGCGGAAGGAUCAUUACAAAAUCCGAGCUUAUACUCUAUUAUAAGCGCAACACCUGUGUCACAACACGAGUGGACUUUGUUCGCUUGGCUGCACGUAGCGCGAGUUACGUGUGAAAACACAUACAUACAAGAAAAUAUUUUAUACACGAGUUUUGACAAUGGAUCUCUUGGCUCUU
rnacentral:misc_RNA from 1 species